rnacentral:rRNA from 1 species
UACGUAGGGGGCCAGCGUUGUCCGGAAUCAUUGGGCGUAAAGCGCGUGUAGGCGGCUUGAUAAGUCCGUUCUGAAAGCCCGGGGCUCAACCCCGGGAGGCGGAUGGAUACUGUCAAGCUUGAGUCCGGAAGAGGCGAGUGGAAUUCCCGGUGUAGCGGUGAAAUGCGCAGAUAUCGGGAGGAACACCAAUGGCGAAGGCAGCUCGCUGGGCCGUAACUGACGCUGAGGAGCGAAAGCGUGGGGAGCGAACAGG